ensembl:snRNA U6 U6 spliceosomal RNA
AGAUCAUGAUGAACCUUGUGCUAAAAUUGGAAUGAUAUAGAGAAGAUUAGCAUGGCCCCAGCACAAAGAUAACACACAAAUUCAUAAAUCGUUCCAUUGGUUC